rnacentral:rRNA from 1 species
AGUGAACGCUGGCGGCGUGCUUAACACAUGCAAGUCGAACGAGAACGGAAUAUAGCUUGCUAUAUUUGUCAGCUAAGUGGCGUACGGGUGAGUAAUGUAUAGAUAACCUGCCCUUAAGAAAGGAAUAACAGUUGGAAACGACUGCUAAUGCCCUAUAUGCCUUUAAUACAUAAGUAUGCAAGGGAAACGCUUUAGUGCUUAAGGAUGGGUCUGUAUGGUAUUAGCUUGUUGGUGAGGUAAUGGCUCACCAAGGCUAUGACGCCUAACUGGUUUGAGAAGAUGAUCAGUCACACUGGAACUGAGACACGGUCCAGACUCCUACGGGAGGCAGCAGUGCAAUAUUGCACAAUGGACGAAAGUCUGAUGCAGCAACGCCGCGUGGAGGAUGACACAUUUCGGUGCGUAAACUCCUUUUAUAUAGGAAGAUAAUGACGGUACUAUAUGAAUAAGCACCGGCUAACUCCGUGCCAGCCGCCGCCGUAA